rnacentral:rRNA from 1 species
UACGUAGGCAGCGAGCGUUGUUCGGAGUUACUGGGCGUAAAGGGUGUGUAGGCGGGUGUUUAAGUUUGGGGUGAAAUCUCCCGGCUCAACUGGGAGGGUGCGCCGAAUACUGAAUGACUUGGAGUGCGGGAGAGGAGAGUGGAAUUCCUGGUGUAGCGGUGAAAUGCGUAGAUAUCAGGAGGAACACCGGUGGUGUAGACGGCUCUCUGGACCGUAACUGACGCUGAGACACGAAAGCGUGGGUAGCAAACAGG